CAACCCCUGUGGUUCUGUCAUUCUGUGCAAUGCUGAUGCCAUCACAGUGUCCCAUCAAAGAAGAAAGGUGACUUCCAACAAGAAUGACUAGAGGGCUGGAGACUUCAUAUCAGAGAGGAGGAGAGAGAAUCUUUGUCUAUGCCUUUAUUGUGUUACUAAUUAGAAUUAACAGAAUAAAUGGAAAUGUACAUAGUAUUUGAUAGUGUUCCUUUAAUAGAAAAUGGUUAACUUGAAUUACUUACAAGUUUUACAUAUUUCAGUACUGUUGUAACUGCACUCAAGCUAUGUCAUUACCUUUUAUUCCGACUGUGAAAACAUUUAUUAGAUGAACAAUUUCUAAUUUUGAUAUCUAGUUCAUAAUCCACAGUUGUCAAUAAUGAAGAUAGUAUGUAACACAGUGCAUAGAAGACAUUUAUAUCAGGCCUAGCAAUGUUGGGUAACAAUCUCAUGCUUUAAUGUACAACGGUUUAUCCUAAGCAGACUUUAAUGCAGUGAUCCUCUUGUCAAUCUUCAGCAUUUCUCUACUGUGAGUGACCACUCCCUUCUCCAAGGACAAAAGAAAUCCAGUCUCUGGAUUAAUCAGCACAUAGAUCCUAUGCAGGUAUGGUCACCACUUCUUCCCACUUUUUUUAACUCCCAUUGGAUUAACUAGCAUCAGAAUGACAUUAUUUAUAUUGAAUGAUGUUCUUUUACAAAUCUUAUUCUAACAGGUCACAAAUAUGGUCAAAGUACCAGAGGCCCAUGAAGCUACAUAUGAAGAAUGCUUGCACUGAAUUAUUUUCCAACAAACAGAACCCAGUAUUUUCUAUUAGGCACAGCUUUUGUAGUGCAGAAAAACAAAACUGAUAUAUUUAUAUUAAUAUUUUAAUAAUUAUCAUAUCUGCAAAGUAGAAGUUUAAGAAUAUCUGCCUCAUUUUGAAAAUAAACUGCAAAGUAGUAAUUAUAUUUUGUAUUCAAAUGUUAGACACAUUGGAUGAAUGUGGGGUUUUUUUCCCCACUGCAAAGUGGGGAGACUGUAUUAUUAAAAAACACUCACUGGCAUUAGUUUUGUAUUUAUGUCUAAAUAAAACUAAUAUAUGCUUUCCCCCUUGUCUGUUACUUGUUCGGGUUAGUUGGAAGCUGAAAAUGUCAGUUUACAGGUUUUGUAUGUGCAAAGUAAGUCUUGGAAAGAUGAGUAUCCAUGAAGUGUUGAUCUGACUUCUCAUCACAGAGCUGACUGAAUUUAUUAUUUUCUGAAAAAAAUCAUCAAACAUCUUGACUUUGUAUCUCAAAUCUACAACUUUACAGAACUACCACUGCUGCUAUACCAAAAGGCUUUGGAGUGUUCUAAAAAAUAUUGCUUUUAAGGUAGAUGGUAGAAGUGCAGCAUUCUACGUUACAGCCAUAAUUUAAGUAUUGACUACAGAACACAAUCAGUGUUCACUGAGUUUAAACACAUUUUUUGCAGACAUCAGCAGAGGUAGUGUAUUUUAUCAGUGUGCUUCAUGCAAGCUUUGUGGUGAGUUGUAGCAAUUUCAUUAGCUAUUGUGACUGAAUAAGGUGAUCACCUUACCAUUGGUAAAUGUCAGACUGCCAGGUAUUAUUGUCUCAAUGAAAUUAUUGCACCUGAUACACAAUUUAAUUUAUUCUUUGUAUAGCAUAAUAGAUUAUUCUAAAUAACUUACUUCUUGUGUCACAUAUGCUUGUAGUCAGUAUAGAAUCGUAGAAGCAUAGAAUCAUAGAAUCACCAAGACCUCUAAGAUCAUCCAGUACAACCAUUCAGCUAUCACCAAUGUUUCCCAUUAACUACGUAGGUUUUUCCAUUGUUACUGUUGUUGGGAUUGAGCUGUACUUAUGUUUCUGUCUGUUUCCCACCCACUGAUUUCAGUGAACACUUAACAGAUCUAGAAGCCAUAAGUACUGCCUGUAGAAUACUCAGAAGCUCUCUGUUCUAUCAGCAAUGGAAGCAACAAAAUGAUUUUUGCUGUUCUAAGUGUAGUAGUCCAGCAGUGAAGCACCGCACUGCUGUUACUGAAAGAAAUAUAAUAUAGUCCUGUUGUAAUGCACAUGAAAUUGAUUGACUGAUGUUAGGAUUCCUAUUCCAAGUAUGCACUGUCUGAUGCACUGACAGUGAACAGCCUUGGCAGGGCAGUGUUGCUGUAUGCUGUUUCACUGCAGCUAAGCCACAGCUCCUUGCGCAGGUGCAUGACAUCUAGCAUUCAUACAAAUGUGUUCCCAAACACAUGGUGUUAAAGAGAAGUGCCACCAAAUGGCACUGGGACUGCACGCACAGCAGCUGAGAAGUGGACUUUUAAUACCUAGUGAUUGUGCGUACAACUGUGGUUUGUUUCCUCUUCUAUUCAGUGUGCUUUGUGCCUCACAGAGUACAGUGUGCAUGCUCCAAGGGGCAGCAUCUUCCUCCUAGAAUCGUGAAUCACUAAGGUUGGAAAAGACCUUCAAGAUCAUUAAGUCCAACCCUGACUGACACAGCCCGACAGUGAAAGGUUGCUCCUCUGGUGUCAUGUGUGUUUUUUUCAGUUCACUUACUCACUUCCAGUUUAUUUAGUCAUUAUGAAAAUCGAAUGUUUCAGAUGCUGGUCUUCAUGCUGCUUUGCAGCUAAGCACUGACUGCGUUUCCCCUGGGGCCCUGAUGAGGCUGCAGUGCUGCCAGGCUGAGUGCAUGCACCCUCCAAGCUGCCAAGCUCUGACCUCUUCCCCUGCCCUCCUUGAAAUGAGUAAUGCUUUCCUCAGCUUUCCCACAGACACUUAGUCAGUACAUGUACAUAUGCAUUUAAUGACUUCUAAGCGUUUUCACUGCAAGUUCAGAUGAGCUUAUAAGAAACUUAUUUUUUAACAGUGGAAUGUUUACACUGUGGAAAGCUAUGCUUUUCCAUGCCUGUGUGUGCGCCCUUUUCCCUUGUCCUUUAAAUAUACCCAAUGUACUUUUCCCCCUGAGGGAGAAUUCAGCUUCUGAUGUCCCUAAGUCCAUAACUGUGCAAGUACGAUAUGAAGAGACUGACUAGUUACCGUGUUUUUCAAAUGUAGCCAUUAUCUCUUCCUACUGUAAGUACAGAAAGAAAAGAUGAUACUCGUGCAAAAUGGUGAUUGAAACAACAAAAAAAGAAGUUAAUAAUAGAAAUCAGUUAACCUCAACUUCUUGCCCUCUCUGUAUAGAUUGCGAUAGGAGCUGUAUUGACACUUAGGCCACUGAAAGGUAGAAAAAAUAAUUUUCCUAAAAAUAUGUCACCUUGAAAACAAAGUUUCUCUCCCCAUCAGGGUCAUCACGAUCCAGUUUGCGUAUGUCAAGUGAGUGAUCAUUCACAUGCAGAAAGUAAUUUUUGUCUUCGUAGCACUGGAACUUCACUGAGUCUCCUUCAGAAUGCAUGAUGAAAAAGUGAUUAUCUUCCUUCAGCUAUGAAACUUUUUGAAGUCAAGACCUCCCUUGUUGCACCUUUUCCUGUUGCCUUCUUCUGUGGUAGUAUGAUCUGGCUCGGAACAGCAUCCCUUUAAAACCUGUGUUUAUAACCAUGCAGAUCAGUAAUUUUGCCUUCCCAUUUUCCACUUUUAAAGCACAAAAUUCUGUAUUAAUUCUAAUUCUUUUUUUUUCCCACAAAGUUCACUUGUAUUUACACUUCAGUUAUCUGAGAUGGAUAAGUUUUUG
ensembl:lncRNA